rnacentral:rRNA from 1 species
GAUGAACGCUCGCGGCGUGCCACAUACACGCCACUCGAGCGAACGGACGAGAAGCUCGCUUCUCUGAUGUUAGCGGUGGACGGGUGAGCAAAAAGUGGAUAACCCACCUAUAAGACUGGCAUAACUUAGGGAAACCGGAGCUAAUACCGGUUAAUCUUUUGAAACCGUUGGUCCUAAAGAGACAGAAGGUCUUGCGGUUACUUACCGAUGGGUCCUCGCUGCUUAUGCUAGUUGGUAAGGUUACGGCUGACCAAGGCAACGAUGCAUUGCCGGCCUGAGGGGGUGAUCGGCCACACUGGAACUGAGACACGGUGCAGACUCCUACGGGAGGCAGCAGGAGGGAAUCUUCCGAAAGGGGCGGAAGCCUGACGGAGCAACUCCGCGUGAGUGAUGAAGGUCUUCGGAUCGUAAAACUCUGUUAGUAGGGAAGGACGUAUGUGUAAGGAACUGUGCGCAUCUUGACGGUGCCUAAUCAGAAGGCCGCGGCUAACUACGUG